UACGUAGGGGGCAAGCGUUGUCCGGAAUUAUUGGACGUAAAGAGCUCGUAGGCGGUUUGUCGCGUCUGCCGUGAAAGUCCGGGGCUCAACUCCGGAUCUGCGGUGGGUACGGGCAGACUAGAGUGAUGUAGGGGAGACUGGAAUUCCUGGUGUAGCGGUGAAAUGCGCAGAUAUCAGGAGGAACACCGAUGGCGAAGGCAGGUCUCUGGGCAUUAACUGACGCUGAGGAGCGAAAGCAUGGGGAGCGAACAGG
rnacentral:rRNA from 1 species